GAAGAAGGCCUUAUGGUUGUAAAGCACUUUAAGCGAGGAGGAGGCUACUUUAGUUAAUACCUAGAGAUAGUGGACGUUACUCGCAGAAUAAGCACCGGCUAACUCUGUGCCAGCAGCCGCGGUAAUACAGAGGGUGCAAGCGUUAAUCGGAUUUACUGGGCGUAAAGCGCGCGUAGGCGGCUAAUUAAGUCAAAUGUGAAAUCCCCGAGCUUAACUUGGGAAUUGCAUUCGAUACUGGUUAGCUAGAGUGUGGGAGAGGAUGGUAGAAUUCCAGGUGUAGCGGUGAAAUGCGUAGAGAUCUGGAGGAAUACCGAUGGCGAAGGCAGCCAUCUGGCCUAACACUGACGCUGAGGUGCGAAAGCAUGGGGAGCAAACAGGAUUAGAUACCCUGGUAGUCCAUGCCGUAAACGAUGUCUACUAGCCGUUGGGGCCUUUGAGGCUUUAGUGGCGCAGCUAACGCGAUAAGUAGACCGCCUGGGGAGUACGGUCGCAAGACUAAAACUCAAAUGAAUUGACGGGGGCCCGCACAAGCGGUGGAGCAUGUGGUUUAAUUCGAUGCAACGCGAAGAACCUUACCUGGCCUUGACAUAGUAAGAACUUUCCAGAGAUGGAUUGGUGCCUUCGGGAACUUACAUACAGGUGCUGCAUGGCUGUCGUCAGCUCGUGUCGUGAGAUGUUGGGUUAAGUCCCGCAACGAGCGCAACCCUUUUCCUUAUUUGCCAGCGAGUAAUGUCGGGAACUUUAAGGAUACUGCCAGUGACAAACUGGAGGAAGGCGGGGACGACGUCAAGUCAUCAUGGCCCUUACGGCCAGGGCUACACACGUGCUACAAUGGUCGGUACAAAGGGUUGCUACCUAGCGAUAGGAUGCUAAUCUCAAAAAGCCGAUCGUAGUCCGGAUUGGAGUCUGCAACUCGACUCCAUGAAGUCGGAAUCGCUAGUAAUCGCGGAUCAGAAUGCCGCGGUGAAUACGUUCCCGGGCCUUGUACACACCGCCCGUCUCACCAUGGGAGUUUGUUGCACCAGAAGUUUCUGAUAGACGUUAGACUCGCUGGCUCAGGACGUACACUUCUGGAGGUCCCCUGUCCCC
rnacentral:rRNA from 1 species